CGGACAGCCCUGUACCGGCGGCUCUUCCGCUCUGUCUCUCAGGCGGGCUCGGCACCUGGGUCCUGCCACGACAGAAAUGGCUGUUUCGUACCUGCCCGGCGGCGAAAAUACAUCUCCGAUUAUGUCCCAGGAAGAAAGCUGAUGAGGAAAUGAAGUUCAAAGCUACAGACACAGAAACCGUGCUGCUUGCUUCCUGUUUACUGCUUUCUAGGAGAAAACAGAUGGCAAGUAAUUCUGAAAAGGCCAAGAAGAUGGUAAGAAAAAAAGCAGGAGCCCUGGCACUGUCCACAGUUUGAGGGGACAUAACCUACCACCAGUAUACUCUGGAAGUGAACUCCUACAGGCUGUGGCCAGACUGCAGCCUUCAGUAUGUCGUUAUUCCCCAUUUGAUGCCCAAAAUGCCAAUACAAACUCUGCCUUUGCCAGAUUAUACAUUUUCAAUGACGUGUAUCUUUAAACAACUCUGUAGGAACGGACAAACGAGGCAGAUUUUUCAGUAAAAGUUUAUGGACCUGUAUUGUUGCAGACUGUAGGAGCUGUAACCUGGUGCUGUGUCCCAACUGUCAUGCUGUGGAAUGCACAUGACACUGAAGAGAAGAAGAAAAAAAGAAAAAUAAAAAGGGGGGGGUGGGGGGGCGGGCAAGAGAAGUUGUUGAACUGAGGGUGGAACUCUGUUUUGUGCAAUCCUUCCUCUAACAUGCUGUAGACUCUAGAUGCUAUGAUGCCAGGUUAUCUUCUCUGUUAUUCCCAUUUAUAUGAUGCAUUUUUCUGGCCAGAGGAGCCUGACUUAGGCAUCCAGCUGGGCUGGGAGUGGAUGGUCUGUGCUGGAGGACUGCUGGACACAGGAGCAAGCACUCGCUCUCACCUUCCCUGCUGUUUCUUGGCAUGCAGCCUAUUCCCAUGACAUUAUCUGAAACUGGUCAUGGAGGUUUAUGGUUUAUUUUUAUAGCAAUCUUUUCAAGCAAUUAUCUUCCAACUUGUAGCUAUAGACCUUUAUGCUCUCAAUCUAACAAGGGCUUGUUUCUGUAAAUCCACUUGUUUAAGAUUUCCCUCAUGUGUGCACACUAAACACAUUGUUAACCUUGACAAGCAGUUAAACACUUAACCAGCACUGCAAAAUUUCAGCUCAUUUUCAAGUGUCGUAAGCCUUCAUUUCUCCUGUCUGUUCUGUAAGCCUGGCAUGGCAUGGCAAAGCAAUAAAGGAAGGAAUAAAAUACCUAGAGCCAGCAACUCAGCCGUUUGACAUCAGUGCAGCUCCUCCACAAAGUCAAGGGGACUAUAAACACUCACUGUUUUUCAUAGGUCUAUAUGUAUUUUAUUUCUCUCUCAUUUCUGCAGGGGUGUGGGUGUGUAGUUGUUUGGUUUGAAGACACUAUCUUUAUUUAAAAGAGUAUUAACAGCCUAUUAGUCAAUAUUAAUUUUUUGUGUGUUUCAAGUGGCGUAGAUACCUUGCAUAAAUGCAAUUAUCUCAUGCUAAUAAAAUCUAUUAGAGAUCA